rnacentral:rRNA from 1 species
GACGAACGCUGGCGGCGUGCCUAAUACAUGCAAGUCGAGCGGAACUGGGGGAGCUUGCUCCUUCCAGUUUAGCGGCGGACGGGUGAGUAACACGUGGGCAACCUGCCCUGCAGAUCGGGAUAACUCCGGGAAACCGGUGCUAAUACCGAAUAGUUUGGCGCCUCUCCUGAGGCGCCACGGCACGACGGUUUCGGCUGUCCCCGCAGGAUGGGCCCGCGGCGCAUUAGCUAGUUGGUGGGGUAACGGCCCACCAAGGCGACGAUGCGUAGCCGACCUGAGAGGGUGAUCGGCCACACUGGGACUGAGACACGGCCCAGACUCCUACGGGAGGCAGCAGUAGGGAAUCUUCCGCAAUGGUCGCAAGUCUGACGGAGCAACGCCGCGUGAGUGACGAAGGUUUUCGGAUCGUAAAACUCUGUUGUGAGGGAAGAACACGUACCAACUAACUAUUGGUACCUUGACGGUACCUCACCAGAAAGCCACGGCUAACUACGUGCCAGCCGCCGCAGUAA